UGACUCUGGUUUCUCUUCAAAAUGCACAAGUCUUUCGCCUUUUACUAAAGACUUCCGUGGAGAGGGACGUUCAAGAGUUUAAGUUAUUUUUGGUGGGCUUUGCCGUAAGGCUG
rnacentral:snRNA from 10 species